UGAGGAAUAUUGGUCAAUGGGCGAGAGCCUGAACCAGCCAAGUAGCGUGCAGGAUGACGGCCCUACGGGUUGUAAACUGCUUUUGCGGGAGAAUAACCGGCGCCACGCGUGGCGCCCUGCAGGUAACCCGUGAAUAAGGACCGGCUAAUUCCGUGCCAGCACCCGCGGUAAUACGGAAGGUCCGGGCGUUAUCCGGAUUUAUUGGGUUGAAAGAGAGCGCAGGCGGAGGAUCAAGCCAGCCGUGAAAUGGCGGCGCUCAACGCCGUCCGGCGGUUGGAACUGGUCCCCUUGAUUGCGGGAGAGGAAGGCGGAACUCGUGGUGUAGCGGUGAAAUGCAUAGAUAUCACGAAGAACCCCGAUUGCGAAGGCAGCCUUCCGGCCCGUAAAUGACGCUCAUGCUCGAAGGCGCGGGUAUCAAACAGG
rnacentral:rRNA from 1 species